GAUCAUGGCUCAGACGAACGCUGGCGGCGUGCCUAACACAUGCAAGUCGAACGGAGAAUUUUAUUUCGGUAGAGUUCUUAGUGGCGAACGGGUGAGUAACGCGUAGGCAACCUGCCCUUUAGACGGGGACAACAUUCCGAAAGGAGUGCUAAUACCGGAUGUGAUCAUCGUGCCGCAUGGCAGGAUGAAGAAAGAUGGCCUCUACAAGUAAGCUAUCGCUAAAGGAUGGGCCUGCGU
rnacentral:rRNA from 1 species